UCCCCCUUUGACAAUGAAUUUCAUCAAACAACACAAAAAUAUGUCCCCACUAAAAAAUGUUUCUUUAAACUAGAAGGGAUUUUUUUUGUUUAUUUUGUCAUAUUUGAUUUUUUCUUGUUUUUGUAAUGAGCAUUAGGAAAUAUCAUGAACAUGAUAAUUGUGCAUCCAAGUCAUGUAAAAAGUAGUUGUACUCAAUAUGUAUAUAAGUAUGAUGUAAUCUACACAUGACUAAAAAUCAAGUAUUUUUACGAUUUAUUGCAAGACAUGAUCUCCCCUUGUCAACUAUAUCAAUACUUGAAUACAAAAUAGUUUGCAGCACAUUACAUUAAACAUAGCACUUUAUAAAAGCAUAAUAUUUAUUUUCAUUGAAUUUAUAUGCCAAGUCAAUUCAACCUUGCCAAGCCUAUAUUUAAAACACCAUGCCAAGCCUAUGUCCAGAGUGCAAUGAUUAACAAUCAGAAGCUUAAGGUAAUGGUAAGCAAUCAGAAGCUUAAGAGAAAGGUUUCAAUAAACACAACAACUUCCAAGUUCAUACCAA
rnacentral:lncRNA from 1 species